AAGACUGUACUUCACAGGAUCAUUUCUGUAGUAAGUCUUCAUUAACUUUCGGGUUAAACCGAAAGAAUUUACGCCCAUGAUUAGCGUGAGGCAGAUUGCGUGUUCUAUGUUUUUUACUUAGACACCAAUCAUCGAUGAUCGCUUAAAUAAAAAACUCCGCCGAAGCCGGUCCCAAGCCCGGUUGUGAAAGGAGGAGGGAUGGAUAGCUUCAGUCUGAAUGGU